rnacentral:lncRNA from 1 species
AAGCUCCCAAGCUUCUUGCUCUUCUGGGAAAAAUCCAAUUUUAAAAAAAUAAUAAGCCCUAAGAAAAUGGAAUGCAAAUUUUAUUUUCUUGUGGAUGACUCUUAAGGCUUGUGAAACUUACUGAAAUUACAUAGGGCCUAACCCAAUAGCCCCAUUCCAAGCUCUUGGUGAAUAUUCAGCUUUAGGAAAAUUAUGUUUUAAGUAUAAAAUGCACCCACUUGCUUUAUAGGAGAAGGAAAUGGCAACCCAAUCCAAUGUUUUUGCCUGGAAAAUUCCAUGGACAGAGGUGAUUGGCAGGCUACAGUCCAUGGGAUCGCAGAGAGUCAGACACGACUGAGCAACUAUCACUCACUCCUUCACUUUCUUUAUAAGGCUUCCUUAUACACCUUGGCUUCAAUGAGGUAAUAGAUAUUAAACUGUGGCAUGUAAAGUUUUCCACAUAUGUGAAGUUUAAUUCUUUUGUUGCCUCCUACCCCAGAGCCCGUGCCCUCUCCCCAGAUUCUGGUGGGAUCAACAUCCAUCACACCAGACUGGUGCAACGUCACCCUGGAGUGCAGAGCCUCUGGGGCCACAGACGAUCUGAACGUGACCUGGGAGAACAAGGGCAUCCCCAGAGAAUGGGAGCAGAGAAGGACAUUAGAACCAGCUUCCAGCCCAUACAUUCUGGCUGUGAGCGUGCCAAGAGGCCAGCCCAAUGCCAGCCUCGUCUGUGUGGUCAGCAACCCGGUGGGAUAUAAAACUGAGUUCUUCAACCUUGGGGGAGUCUGCGUCCAUGGCAUCCUUGGGGCAGUUGCGGCUGUGUUAUUGAUCCUCGGAGGCGGACUGUACCUUUGGAAGAUACAUAGGAAGAAGAUGGAGACUGGAAAAGGUGCAAGAUCACAAGAUGCUGAUGAUGAUAGCAUCCAGUAUGUAGAGCUGAGCCAGCAGAAAUCUCAAGAGAGCUCAAACAAGGUGAGAGCUGGGCUGUGUGCUCUCCCAGGUCUCUCACUGCCUGGCCUGAGUUUGUC